AUACGGAGGUUGCAAGCGUUACUCGGAAUCACUGGGCGUAAAGCGCGCGCAGGCGGUCUUUUAAGUUGGAUGUGAAAGCCUACAGCUCAACUGUAGAACUGCAUCCAAAACUAUUAGACUAGAGUCUGGGAGGGGGAGAUGGAAUUAGUUGUGUAGGGGUAAAAUCCGUAGGGAUAACUAGGAAUGCCAAAAGCGAAGGCGAUCUUCUGGAACAGUACUGACGCUGAGGCGCGAAAGCGUGGGGAGCAAACAGGAUUAGAAACCCCAGUAGUCC
rnacentral:rRNA from 1 species